rnacentral:rRNA from 1 species
AUUGAACGCUGGCGGCAGGCCUAACACAUGCAAGUCGAACGAGUGGCGGACGGGUGAGUAAUGUCUGGGAAACUGCCUGAUGGAGGGGGAUAACUACUGGAAACGGUAGCUAAUACCGCAUACCAUCGCUUGUGCCCUGAUGGUUUUAGCUAGUAGGUUGGGUAACGGCUCACCUAGGCGACUAUCCCUAGCUGUUCUGAGAGGAUGACCAGCCACACUGGAACUGAGAAACGGUCCAGACGCCUACGGGAGGCAGCAGUGGGUAAUAUUGCACAAUGGGCGCAAGGCUGAUGCAGCAAUGCCGCGUGUAUGAAGAAGGCCUUCGGGUUGUAAAGUACUUUCAGCGGGGAGGCGGGACCAGAAGAAGAAGCACAGGCUAACUCCGUGCCAGCAGACGCGGUAAUAG